rnacentral:misc_RNA from 1 species
UCCUCCCUCAAAACUCCUGUUUUGGUGUUGGGCCGCGUUGGUCACCUCCGACCAACGGGCCUCAAAGACAAUGACGGCGUCCGUGGGACCCUCUUCGCAGUGAGCUUUUGUUAGCGCGCGUUGAGUUUAAAGGACCUUCCGGGCCGGCCACCUUUAUCUAUUUUACAA